GACGAGGGGGGCAAGCGUUGUUCGGAAUUAUUGGGCGUAAAGGGUGCGUAGGCGGUUUGACAAGUCAUCUGUGAAAUCUAUGGGCUCAACCCAUAGUCUGCAGGCGAAACUGUCGGGCUUGAGUAUGGGAGAGGUGAGUGGAAUUUCCGGUGUAGCGGUGAAAUGCGUAGAUAUCGGAAGGAACACCUGUGGCGAAAGCGGCUCACUGGACCAUAACUGACGCUGAUGCACGAAAGCUAGGGGAGCAAACAGG
rnacentral:rRNA from 1 species